rnacentral:rRNA from 1 species
AUUGAACGCUAGCGGGAUGCUAUACACCUGCCAGUCGAACGAGUGGCGGACGGGUGAGUAAUAUAUCGGAACUUGCCCAGUAGCGGGGGAUAACUACUCGAAAGAGUGGCUAAUACCGCAUACUAUUGUAGCGGCCGGUAUCGGAUUAGAUAGUUGGUUGGGUAAAGGCUACCCACGGCAACUAUCCGUAGUUGGUUUGAGAGGAUGACCAGCCAAACUGUGACUGAGACACGGACCAGACUCCUACGGGAGGCAGCAGUGGGGAAUUUUGGACAAUGGGGGAAACCCUGAUACAGCCAUCCCGCGUGUAUGAGAAGGCCUUCGGGUUGUAAAGUACUUUUGGCAUAGAAGCGGUAUCUGCAGAAUAAGCACCGGCUAACUACGUGCCAGCAGCCGCGGUAAUUC